CAAAAAGAUAUUUGGCCUCAGGGUAAGACAUAUCCUAUAAAUGCAGUUGCUAUAACUAAAAAUAAAAUCACUGUACCAAUUAUUCAGGUAUGUAUAUAUAUAUAAGAUCCAUAGUAAAUUCCCCGUCCUACAUGUAAGUAAAUACAAAUAAAAAAUAUAGAUGCUCCAUUUGCAUGUAAGGUUCGGAUAAUUCAACCAUUAUUUUCGUCUCGGCAGAUGUGUACUACACUACUGAAUGCUAUUUCAAUAUUUGAUUUAUAAUGUAUA